rnacentral:rRNA from 1 species
CCUACGGGGGGCAGCAGUGGGGAAUAUUGCACAAUGGGCGCAAGCCUGAUGCAGCCAUGCCGCGUGUGUGAAGAAGGCCUUCGGGUUGUAAAGCACUUUCAGCGGGGAGGAAGGCGUUAAGGUUAAUAACCUUGUCGAUUGACGUUACCCGCAGAAGAAGCACCGGCUAACUCCGUGCCAGCAGCCGCGGUAAUACGGAGGGUGCAAGCGUUAAUCGGAAUUACUGGGCGUAAAGCGCACGCAGGCGGUCUGUCAAGUCGGAUGUGAAAUCCCCGGGCUCAACCUGGGAACUGCAUUCGAGACCGGCAGGCUAGAGUCUUGUAGAGGGGGGUAGAAUUCCAGGUGUAGCGGUGAAAUGCGUAGAGAUCUGGAGGAAUACCGGUGGCGAAGGCGGCCCCCUGGACAAAGACUGACGCUCAGGUGCGAAAGCGUGGGGAGCAAACAGGAUUAGAUACCCGGGUAGUC